CAUGCAAGCAACUCACAUCAGUCAUCACAUAACCUGAAUACGUAAAAUCCGGGGUACUUUGAUGAAAUGACUAAAUCACCCUCCACAACUUUCAGAUGGACCCCACAAGUUGGCAAGGAGGAGUGGCAAUGUUUGACGAAGUGGUCAACAAGGUCCCCUAAAGUGUAGAGAGCAGCAGCAGCUUAAAGCUUAAAGGUUAAAGGCACCCCUAGAAACCACAAAUGAAUGUUAGGCUAAGAAAGACUGUCUUUGUGUAGGGUAACUCUCUGGUGGUCUCGAUGAAUUUAGCCUCGACAAUAGUGCCCUGUUUGGGUCAGGAGAGUCAGGCCACAUGGAAUUUGUUUGUUUACAUGUGUAGUUUCAGGGGCCAUUCCUUAGAUUUUGUGGGUUUAUGAAGGAUGGCAAGGAAAUGGGAAGAGGACAGAGAUUGCUUGCGCAAAUCUAGCUAAUCUGGGCUUCUGGAGCAAGUAAAGGGUAAAUGAGAAGUAAAAGAGUUUGAAAUUGAAGACAACAAUUAAAAAAAAGAAAACCCAUAUGCCCACACCAUCUUCUCUAUUUCUUGCCUUCAUUUCCUUGGCCUCAUUAUGUUUUGUGCCCAGUGGACACUCAAACACCCACAAAGGUUUGUGGUUCUGCUGCUGUUGGUGGUGGAGGUUAUUGGGGCUUGGACAAGAUUGGUCGGAGAAUAUGAAGGCUCUGGCUGCUUCAAUUGGGGAGAUCGAUUCCUAUCUUGGGUUCUUCAUGAAGAUGGGUUUGAAGCAAAUGGGUUUCUGGAGCCUGAUGGGUUGUAGAAUCUCAACUUCUCAAGUAGUUUCCCUGCAACAAGUUCUGUUCUUUCUGCUCUUCUGCUUCCUCUGCUUUUGGUAGCAAUGUUGGUGGUGGUGGUAGUGAUAUUGGCUGAAUGGCUCAAUCUUAAUUUUGUUGUUGUGAUAUAAUUUUGUAUCAUUUAUUGCUUUUGUUUUUUAAGCUGAGAAUGUUCAUAUGGAAAAGCAUUGCUUAGUUGGCCUCUUUUGGUUCCA